AUUUCUACGGGGGGCAGCAGUGAGGAAUAUUGGUCAAUGGUCGGGAGACUGAACCAGCCAAGCCGCGUGAGGGAGGAAGGUACAGAGUAUCGUAAACCUCUUUUGUCAGGGAGCAAUUGGCGCUACGUGUAGCGUUAUCGAGAGUACCUGAAGAAAAAGCAUCGGCUAACUCCGUGCCAGCAGCCGCGGUAAUACGGAGGAUGCGAGCGUUAUCCGGAUUUAUUGGGUUUAAAGGGUGCGUAGGCGGAAUGCCAAGUCAGCGGUAAAAUCGCGGGGCUCAACCUCGCUCCGCCGUUGAAACUGGG
rnacentral:rRNA from 1 species